rnacentral:rRNA from 1 species
CNGNUUUAUAUCUUGANCUGAAGGGNUCAUUAAAUCAUUUAUAAUCUACUUGAUUGUAAAAUCUACAUGGAUAACUGUGGUAAUUCUAGAGCUAAUACAUGCAAAAAAUCCUGACUGUUAUGAAGGAUGNAUUUAUUANGUACAAAAUCAAUGCUGGCACUUGUGUCGGGUUUAUUGAUGAUUCAUAAUAACUAAACGAAGCNCACGACCUUGUUGGCGCUGAUACAAACGAGUUUCUGCCCUAUCAACUUUCGAUGGGAGUAUAGAGGACUACCAUGGUUUCAACNGGUUGGGGAAUA